rnacentral:rRNA from 1 species
AGUCGUACAGGUUUCCGUAGGUGAACCUGCGGAAGGAUCAUUAGUGAUUGACCUCCGGGUCUUAAUAACUAUAAUCUUCUACCUCUGUGAACCGUUGGUCUUCGGACCGAUUCUUAUAACAAACAUCUGUGUAAUGAACGUAACCUAUAUUAAUCAUAUAAAACUUUUAACAACGGAUCUCUUGGCUCUCGCAUCGAUGAAGAACGCAGCGAAAUGCGAUAAGUAAUGUGAAUUGCAGAAUUCAGUGAAUCAUCGAAUCUUUGAACGCACCUUGCGCCUUUUGGUAUUCCGAAAGGCAUGCCUGUUUGAGUGUCAUGAAAUAUCAACCCCUCCUGGUUUCUGAUCAGUGUUGGGCUUGGACUUGGGUGUCUGCCAGUUCGCUGGCUCGCCUUAAAAGAGUUAGUGGUAAUAACAUCCACGGCUAAGACGUAAUAAGUUUCGUCUGGUCAAGGUGUGACGACUGCUCAUAACCCGACCGCAAGGUCAUUAUUUAUGCUCUGACCUCAAAUCAGGUAGGACUACCCGCUGAACUUAAGCA